AGAGUUUGAUUCUGGCUCAGGAUGAACGCUGGCGGCGUGCCUAACACAUGCAAGUCGAGCGGAGAUAGGUUGAAGCCUAGCGAUUCUUAUCUUAGCGGCGGAUGGGUGAGUAACACGUGGGUAACCUGCCCUGUACUGGGGGAUAACAGCUGGAAACGGCUGUUAAUACCGCAUAUGCGCACGGAGCCGCAUGGCCCUGGGCGGAAAGAUUCAUCGGUACAGGAUGGGCCCGCGCCGGAUUAACUUGUUGGCGGGGUAACGGCCCACCAAGGUGAUGAUCCGUAGCCGACCUGAGAGGGUGACCGGCCACAUUGGGACUGAGACACGGCCCAAACUCCUACGGGAGGCAGCAGUGGGGGAUACUGCACAAUGGGGGAAACCCUGAAUGCAGCGACGCCGCGUGAAGGAAGAAGUAUUUCGGUAUGUAAACUUCUAUCAGCGGGGAAGAAGAUGACGGUACCCGCACAAGAAGCCCCGGCUAACUACGUGCCAGCCGCCGC
rnacentral:rRNA from 1 species